rnacentral:rRNA from 1 species
AUGUUUGAUGAGGAAAUUGCGAAUGAUAAAAAGAACAUGAAAUUUCUUGAAGAUGUCGCAAAACUAGCAGCUGAAUGCUUGAAAAUGGAGGAUAAAAUGCGUCCAGAAAUGGUUGAAGUCGCGGACAGACUUAGGACAAUUAGAAAGGCCUACCGCCACCACAAGGGCAUAAAUGCUACAGGUAGCAACUCUGGACUUCCUAAAAGUGGAAAGGCAGAGGACGUGAUACCAUUAGUGGUACCAUCCAUUUCCAUGGAUAAACUGAAGGAAGUAACCAGGAACUUUAGCAUUGAUGCUCUAAUAGGACAGAGCUUACAGAUUAAAUUCUUUUUUGGAGUGCUGAAAGAUGGACGUAAAUCCAUGAUCAUGAAGAUUAGGCCUACUACAGAAAUUGUUUUGGAGGUUCCGGUGGUCUCAAGAUUCAGACAUGAGAAUGUUCUCCAGCUUCUCGGACACUGUGUUGAAGGAGACAACCGGGUUCUUGCUUGCGAGUACGCAUCCAGGGGAUCCUUGCAAGAUAUUCUUCAUGGUAAAAGCAAUGUUUCGGGAGCUGAACGAGGACCUGUUCUAUCAUGGACGCAACGCAUGAGGAUUGCCAUGGAUGCUGCAGCUGGGCUUGAGUUCCUCCACGAGAAAGCACAGCCUUGCAUAAUCCACAGUUGCAUCAGGUCCAGCAACAUAUUUCUCUUUGACAGGGACGUUGCAAAGAUUGGUUGGCCUGGUGUUUCCAGACAGGCUAACUACUGCACAGAAGCUGUCUGUUUUGUUUCUCGUGGUUAUGACGCGCCUGAGACUGUAACGGGCGGUCAACAUUCUACGAUGAGCGAUGUCCACAGCUUCGGGGUUGUCCUGCUAGAACUUUUAACCGGUCGAAAGGAACUUGAUUGUACACUACCACAUGCCCAACGAUUUCUUGUGACAUGGGCUAGACCAAGACUUGAUGAAUGCAAGGUGCAAGAAAUUGUUGAUGCGAGGCUUGGAGGAGAUUACCCUCCCGAGGCUAUCGCCAAGAUGGCUGCAAUCGUGGCAUGCUGUAUACAGUCGAAGGCGGACCUCCGGCCAAACAUGAGCAGCGUCGUCAUGGCCCUAAAGCCGUUGCUUCUCUAG